GUGAGACUCUCACUGAAGGUGUAUUCAACCACCUCUGUUCCAAUGAUGGUCCAACAGGAUCCAUCAUUCAAUAACACCUUAUUACUUUCCUUGGGACACGGAGAAGCCUACAAGUUUGGAAUUACAUGAGGGCAGAGGUACAUGUGGUUGCUGUCUCUGAACUGGAAAGCACAUUUAUGAAGCUGAGAUACGGGCUCAUCCACGUCUAGACAUGCAUGCUGCUUGUUCACCUUACGUAUUACCUACAAAGAGAGAAAACCACAUCCGGAUGGUGAGGAAUUCAACGUCACUUGAAUGCUGCUCUCAGAUGUCAAGCGCCUCUUUCUUCCCCGUAGAACCUCUCUGUGGAUCCAAUAGUCAAUGUCAACAGCAGAUGCCCUCUUAGUGUGUGCUUUAGGAUCAAAAGGUUAGAGGUCAAAUGUCUGACUUCUGUGGCAAUGGCUGCCGGGUGACACUAUUUAGCGGCUUGACCCCACUUUUCAUACACAAAGACACGGUAACAUAAACUUACAGGGGUUUGGUUUCUACACCGGUUGACCCUUUUACAUAACGGCCCUUAGUCAGGGUAGACGUCAUGUUUGAUUUGAUCCAAAUGAGGGAUAGAUGAACAGUCCAUUCAAUAGGUUGUACUGUUUUGUACCAUGGGUGUCAACUGUUUAGCUAACAAAACUAAAAAAAUAAUAAUAAUUUGGAAAAAAAAAACAUGGGAAACUGUGGGCUGUGAAAAUUAGUCAUGACCUAUAACCCUAGAACUCAAACCCUCGAUUUCACAGACAGGUCUUAAGCCUAGUCCCAGACUAAAAUGCAUGUUUGAGCUGUUUUAACUGAAAGCAACUUGCACUGGCAUAUUUUAAAAUAUGUCAGUGCCAUUGUUUUAUCUCAAGAAGCACAUCAGUAAUGUUUUUUUCUAAGGCACAUUUAAAAAACCCACUUAAAUGCCUAAUCCUGGCUUCUGAGCCCUGUCUGUGAAAAAAAAAAAAAUGGGCAUAAAACGGAAUUACAAUGCACUGAAUGUCUAUCGCUUGCAUCAUAUUAAAGGGGUGGUUGAUUAUGAUUUCACUUUUUUAACUUUAGUUUGUGUGUAAUGUUGCUGUUUGAGCAUAAACAACAUCUGCAAAGUUACGACGCUCAAAGUUCAAUGCAAAGGGAGAUAUUUUCUUUUAAAUAAUUAUCUGUUUAAGGACUACAACAAACGGCUGGUAGGGACUACAACGAGCUUCUUCCUGGGUUGGUGACAUCACUAACCCUAAAAUUUACAUAAACCCUGCCCCCGAGAACACACAACAAAGGGGGUGAGGCCAUGUUGGGCUGCUUUAGAGAAGAGGAAGAGUUGUUGUAGGAGAGUGUUUUUGCCAUGACCUUAUUUUACGCCAGACUGCUUCACAAACGAGGGUCAAUUCAACGCUGGAUUUGCACAAAAGAUUAACAUGAUGGCAUAUGCUAGUCGAUGAGUUGAAUCAACUCCACAGCAACUACAUAAAUUUAUCCACUAACCAUUCAGAAACGUCCAGUUUCAUUCUAAAAGUUGUAACUUCUUCCUGAGUCUCUCCAUCAGUGUUCGACUCUGGUUUGAACAAUGUAAGGCUGAACACCGUUACUGACAAUCCUCAUUUUGGCUGCGUGAGAUUCUCCAGCUUUGUUGUUGUUGAGCAACCGAAGCACGAGCUGUUAAAGCUCCGACUUCUUUUGGAAAGUGGGCCGGGAGCAGCAGCUCAUUUGCAUUUAAAAGGACACACACACAAACGUGUUUUUGUUCACACCCAAAUAGGGGCAAAUUUGACGAGCUAUAAUAAAUGAUCUGUGGGGUAUUUUGAGCUGAAACUUCACAUGCACAUCCUGGGGACACCAAAGACUUAUAUUACAUCUUGUGAAAGGGCCAUUAUAGGUCCCCUUUAAAUAUAGAUUUUUUGAAUUGCACACAAAUACACA